CGAGCAAGUUUACCAUUGUGCGAUGCAAAUGUAGAAAUUUUAGUUUCAGUUUAUUUAUUGAUUUAUACACAAGCCCUAUGGUAAUACCAUUUUGAGGUCAUAGUAUUGUGUACUAUAGCAUAGUUUUGUGCAAAGAAUUGCACAAAAAUAAGCAUUUAUUAAUCGAUAAUCUUCCCGUUAUCACAACUUGUGUGAAAAUGAAUAAAAAUUGCUGGUCUUUUAAUGGCCUCUUGUGUUCAUUUCGUACGUACAGGUCAUUUUGGUAAUUUGGAGUAAACAUGUAGGUAGAGGCAUAUUUUUCCAAUGAGCCUAGGUUGUUUGAUCUUUACAUGAUACUGCAAAACUACUGGUGAAUGCGAAGUUCCAUGGGCGUUAUGUGUCAGUACUACAGCCUUUUUUGUGGAAAAUCAGGAUUGGUAAUAUGGGGGUUUGUGUGUAUGUGUGUGUGUGUGUGAUACCUAAGCGAGGUCUUUUCUCUCGCCUGUCAGUCUCUGUGUAUAGCGUGAGCUGUCACUGUCAGCCACUAAUGGCGGAACUACUGUGACGACUUCCUAUUACUGCUGUGGCCCUGUCAAUACCACAGCCAUCACUCCAGUGCCACAUGUCAAGAUCCCCUCUGCAGGCCUGCUGAUGGACGCCAUGCUGGUGAAGAUGAAGGAGGGCAAAGUGCUGACAGAGGAACUGGCUGCACUUACAGCCGCAGUCAGCAAAAAACGCCUGACCGGAGGAAAAAAAAAGACAGAGAGGGAGCAAGAGACUGUAAUACUUCUGUAAGAUGGAGUGUGCCCUGCAUGGCAGCGGAAGCCCCUUGUCUACACAGUACUCCACCCGUUUUCUGCUCUUACCCUCUUGUAGUCCUGUGCCUCACACAACAAAAUCUUGAUACAACUUAAAAUGCUUUUUAUGAAAGGCCUUUAAAAAACAUUGACUGGUUGGUGGAUGAAAAGAUACAGUACUUGAAAAGCAACAUUUUUGUGUUUUAUUUGAAUUUUACAGAUUGCAAAGACUACUUUUUGAAAUUGAGUAUCAAAUGUUGGGGAGAGUACUAUUUCUUUAUUUGAUCUAAUAUUUUACUUGUAUGUAAAUGAUUGUGCAGUUGAUUUUUUUUUUUUUUACCUGCACAUAUUUUAAACAUAUUAGCAUGUCGGUGUAAAUUCACACCUCUGUUUAUUUGGUCACAGCAAACGUCAGUCAAAAUCAAGGCUGAAGUUGCAUAAUCAACAUUCUGCAAGAAUUUCAUAUUUAAAUAAUUAAACAAAUUCUGGUCACAUCAUCCUGCUCGUCUCUUUCUUGUGUGAAUUGUAUGGUGGUAUUAAUUUGUUUUUAGCUAAUUUGUUUUUGUAUGCAUCCUUGUCUUUAAUUAUCAAUAAUAUUGG
rnacentral:lncRNA from 1 species